AAAGGGGUAGCAAUACCCCGAGUAAAGUGGCGAACGGGUGAGUAACGCGUAGGAAACCUGCCUUCGAGUGGGGGAUAACAUUCCUAACGGGAUGCUAAUACCGCAUGUGACUACGGAGUCGCAUGGCUCUGUAGUGAAAGGUGGCCUCUGUUUACAAGCUACCGCUCAAAGAUGGUCCUGCGUCCCAUUAGCUAGUUGGUGGGGUAACGGCCUACCAAGGCGACGAUGGGUAGCCGAUCUGAGAGGAUGACCGGCCACACUGGGACUGAGAUACGGCCCAGACUCCUACGGGAGGCAGCAGUCGAGAGGCUUCGGCAAUGGGGGAAACCCUGACCGAGCGACGCCGCGUGGAGGAUGAAGGCCUUUGGGUUGUAAACUCCUGUCAUGAGGGAAGAAACGUUACCGUUCGAAUAGGGCGGUAACUUGACGGUACCUCAAGAGGAAGCUCCGGCUAACUCCGUGCCAGCAGCCGCGGUAAUACGGGGGGAGCAAACGUUGUUCGGAAUCACUGGGCGUAAAGGGCGCGUAGGCGGCCAGAUAAGUGGGGUGUUAAAUCUCCCGGCUCAACCGGGAACCUGCACCUCAUACUGCCUGGCUUGAGUACAGCAGAGGAGACUGGAAUUCCCGGUGUAGCGGUGAGAUGCGUAGAUAUCGGGAGGAACACCAGUGGCGAAGGCGAGUCUCUGGGCUGUAUCUGACGCUGAUGCGCGAAAGCUAGGGGAGCAAACGGGAUUAGAUACCCCGGUAGUCCUAGCCGUAAACGGUGGGCACUAGGUGUUGGAGGCAUCGACCCCUCCAGUGCCGCAGCUAACGCA
rnacentral:rRNA from 1 species